GAUGAACGCUGGCGGCGUGCCUAAUACAUGCAAGUCGAGCGAAUGGAUUAAGAGCUUGCUCUUAUGAAGUUAGCGGCGGACGGGUGAGUAACACGUGGGUAACCUGCCCAUAAGACUGGGAUAACUCCGGGAAACCGGGGCUAAUACCGGAUAACAUUUUGAACCGCAUGGUUCGAAAUUGAAAGGCGGCUUCGGCUGUCACUUAUGGAUGGACCCGCGUCGCAUUAGCUAGUUGGUGAGGUAUCGGCUCACCAAGGCAACGAUGCGUAGCCGCCCUGAGAGGGUGAUCGGCCACACUGGGACGAAGGCACGGCCCAGACUCCUACGGGAGGCAGCAGUAGGGAAUCUUCCGCAAUGGACGAAAGUCUGACGGAGCAACGCCGCGUGAGUGAUGAAGGCUUUCGGGUCGUAAAACUCUGUUGUUAGGGAAGAACAAGUGCUAGUUGAAUAAGCUGGCACCUUGACGGUACCUAACCAGAAAGCCACGGCUAACUACGUGCCAGCCGCCGCGGUAA
rnacentral:rRNA from 1 species